AUUUUCAACGGUGGAUAUCUUGGUUCCCAUAUCGAUGAAGAACGCAGCGAAAUGCGAUACGCAAUGCGAAUUGCAGAAUUCCUCGAGUCAUCAGAUCUUUGAACGCAAGUGGCGCUGGUGUAACAGCCAAGCAUGUUUGUUUCAGUGU
rnacentral:rRNA from 1 species